CUACGGGGUGCUGCAGUGGGGAAUAUUGGACAAUGGGGGAAACCCUGAUCCAGCAAUGCCGCGUGUGUGAAGAAGGCCUGCGGGUUGUAAAGCACUUUCGGUUGGGAGGACUGCUUCUAGCACUAAUAUUGUUGGAAGUUGACGUUACCUUCAGAAGAAGCACCGGCUAACUCCGUGCCAGCAGCCGCGGUAAUACGGGCGGUGCAAGCGUUAAUCGGAAUUACUGGGCGUAAAGCGCGCGUAGGCGGCUAGAUCAGUCGGGUGUGAAAGCCCCGGGCUUAACCUGGGAACUGCAUCCGAUACUGUCUAGCUUGAGUACAGGAGAGGAGAGUGGAAUUCCACAUGUAGCGGUGAAAUGCGUAGAUAUGUGGAGGAACACCAAUGGCGAAGGCAGCUCUCUGGCCUGAUACUGACGCUGAGGUGCGAAAGCGUGGGGAGCAAACAGGAUUAGAUACCCUUGUAGUC
rnacentral:rRNA from 1 species